rnacentral:rRNA from 1 species
GAGAGAGACAUGCGCGCAUAUCAAUAAGCGGAGGAAAAGAAACUAACAAGGAUUCCCUUAGUAACGGCGAGUGAAGCGGGAAGAGCUCAAAUUUGAAAUCUUCAAGGUUUUACCUUGACGAAUUGUAGUUUAAAGAAGUGUUUUCUGCUGAAGUUUUGGUAAAAGUUCUUUGGAAUAGGACAUCAUAGAGGGUGAGAAUCCCGUAUUUGACCAUUAUUUUCAGCUUUGUGAUACACUUUCAAAGAGUCGGAUUGUUUGGGAAUGCAGUCCAAAAUGGGUGGUAAAUUUCAUCUAAAGCUAAAUAUUGGCGAGAGACCGAUAGCGAACAAGUACCGUGAGGGAAAGAUGAAAAGAACUUUGAAAAGAGAGUUAAACAGUACGUGAAAUUGUCAAAAGGGAAGCGUUUGACACCAGUGUUGUUUUCUCGAAAAUCAAUUAAAAAUGGCUCGAUUUUGUAUUGCUUGAGACCUUAAAAGCUCACUGUACAUUUUUCGUGUCUUUUUUAAUGCACUUUUCGUUUAACAAGUCAACAUCAGUUUCUUUUGUUGUAAAAGGGUCAUUGGAAGGUGGCUUUCUUUUCGGAGAAAGUGUUUAUAGCCUUUGGCCUCUGCAAUCGAAGAGACUGAGGUCUGCAGCGUAGACUCUUCGGGGUUAGAUACAUUUGUGCUAAGUUAUAGCUUUUUAUAGACAACUUGUUGACUAUAAUUAGUCUUGUAGCUUACUCGCUUAUGCUAUUUUACCUACGCUUAGGAUGUUGAAGAUGUAGCACAUCAU